UGGCGACCGGCGCACGGGUGAGUAACGCGUAUCCAACCUGCCCUUUACUAUGGGACAGCCCGUCGAAAGGCGGAUUAAUACCGUAUGUUGUCAUGUUGAUGCAUAUUUUCAUGACCAAAGGCUUCGGCCGGUAAAGGAUGGGGAUGCGUCUGAUUAGCUUGCCGGCGGGGUAACGGCCCACCGGGGCGACGAUCAGUAGGGGGUUCUGAGAGGAAGGUCCCCCACGUUGGAACUGAGACACGGUCCAAACUCCUACGGAAGGCAGCAG
rnacentral:rRNA from 1 species